AGUGAACGCUGGCGGUAGGCCUAACACAUGCAAGUCGAACGGCAGCACAGAGGAGCUUGCUCCUUGGGUGGCGAGUGGCGGACGGGUGAGGAAUACAUCGGAAUCUACUCUGUCGUGGGGGAUAACGUAGGGAAACUUACGCUAAUACCGCAUACGACCUACGGGUGAAAGCAGGGGACCUUCGGGCCUUGCGCGAUUGAAUGAGCCGAUGUCGGAUUAGCUAGUUGGCGGGGUAAAGGCCCACCAAGGCGACGAUCCGUAGCUGGUCUGAGAGGAUGAUCAGCCACACUGGAACUGAGACACGGUCCAGACUCCUACGGGAGGCAGCAGUGGGGAAUAUUGGACAAUGGGCGCAAGCCUGAUCCAGCCAUACCGCGUGGGUGAAGAAGGCCUUCGGGUUGUAAAGCCCUUUUGUUGGGAAAGAAAUCCAGCUGGCUAAUACCCGGUUGGGAUGACGGUACCCAAAGAAUAAGCACCGGCUAACUUCGUGCUAGCAGCCGCCGCGUAA
rnacentral:rRNA from 1 species